UAAUUGUAACUCUAUUAUGAGCCCAAUAUCCUAGCUAAUUCUCAACUCUAAUUCAAGGACUUGCUAUGAAUAAGUUCAUAAUACUGAGAAUGGUUAAUUAAGCCAGAAAGACACCUCGCAGUGUGACUAACAUUGUCUUUGAAAUGAAGGCUCAUUCUAGAUGGCUUUAUUUUCGUAUAAUAUUAAAUACUGCCAUUUACGAUACAUACUGGC